rnacentral:rRNA from 1 species
UGCGCAGGCGGGCUUGUAAGUCAGUGGUGAAAUACUGCCGCUUAACGGUAGAACUGCCAUUGAUACUGCGAGUCUUGAAUAUGGUUGAGGUAGGCGGAAUGUGUUGUGUAGCGGUGAAAUGCAUAGAUAUGACACAGAACGCCGAUUGCGAAGGCAGCUUACUAAGCCAUAAUUGACGCUGAGGCACGAAAGCGUGGGGAGCGAACAGGAUUAGAUACCCUGGUAGUCC